GACGAACGCUGGCGGCGUGCUUAACACAUGCCAGUCGAACGCGCCUGUCCUCUGGGUUUCUGGGGGGUGGGUGAGUGGCGAACGGGUGAGUAACACGUGAGUAACCUGCCCCCUUCUUCGGGAUAACGGUCUGAAAGGGCUGCUAAUACCGGGUAUUCACUGGUCUCCGCAUGGGGUCUGGUGGAAAGGUUUUUUUCUGGUGGGGGAUGGGCUCGCGGCCUAUCAGCUUGUUGGUGGGGUGAUGGCCCACCAAGGCUUUGACGGGUAGCCGGCCUGAGAGGGUGACCGGUCACAUUGGGGCUGAGAUACGGCCCAGACUCCUACGGGAGGCAGCAGUGGGGAAUAUUGCACAAUGGGCGCAAGCCUGAUGCAGCGACGCCGCGUGAGGGAUGGAGGCCUUCGGGUUGUGAACCUCUUUCGCCCGUGGUCAAGCCGCGACGUGGGUCGUGGUGAGGGUAGUGGGUAAAGAAGCGCCGGCUAACUACGUG
rnacentral:rRNA from 1 species